rnacentral:lncRNA from 1 species
UAAAGACAGUGUGAAAGGAUACAGAGAGAGUUAAAGUCCGGGUUUAUGUUUUCUCUUUGCAGAAGAUGUAGAGGAGCUGGAUGCUGGAGAGUGAGUGGAGGAGUGAAGCUGAGCCCUGGACGGAGGGAUCUGCUGGAGGAAAGGAGAGAGAGAGAGUGUAGGCUGAACUGGGCCACAGCAUCCGAGCUGGGAGAACUGGGGGAAGAGACGGGAGAGGGCAGCUCCGCUGACUGGAGGAGUACCAGCUGGUCUCAAACAGGUAGGGAGCCGUGCCAAGUCCCUGUGCCAGCGUCCGUCGUGCCCGCUGACGUUCGUCGUCUGUUGGCUUCCAU